rnacentral:rRNA from 1 species
UACGAAGGGGGCUAGCGUUGCUCGGAAUCACUGGGCGUAAAGGGUGCGUAGGCGGGGCUUUAAGUCAGGGGUGAAAUCCUGGAGCUCAACUCCAGAACUGCCUUUGAUACUGAAGAUCUUGAGUUCGGGAGAGGUGAGUGGAACUGCGAGUGUAGAGGUGAAAUUCGUAGAUAUUCGCAAGAACACCAGUGGCGAAGGCGGCCGACUGGUCCGGUUCUGACGCUGAGGCGCGAAAGCGUGGGGAGCAAACAGG